rnacentral:misc_RNA from 1 species
CCGUUCUCCGCUGCGAAAAUCCUUGGCCGCAGCGGCCCUUGCCCCGUGAGUUAGCCUAAAGACUUCAGAAAUGAGCAGAGUUUUAUGAAACCUCCAUAGUGAAAGUGUGAAUGCGCUGCGAAACUUGCGGUUGACAGGCGACUGUUGCCGGUAGCGGAUCAUUAUCGUCGGAUAACAAGCUCUACCGUCUGUAGACAAAAACGAUUACACCAAAAAAAAAAAAAAAACUUUUUUUUUU